UUAAAACUUCCUUUUCAAAAUGUACAACUAAAUUUUAUUAUUAAGCGAAUUUAGGUGAAUUUUGAGGAUACUUCAUCUAUAGAUGUUACUUCAAGUAUUAAUUUCUUCAUUGAUUCUGCAGCAUAAUUCCGCAAGUCUCAUUUAUUAUUUAUUAUUUUCUCGAUCGAUUGUUAUUGCCAUGAUUUAUAGAGAUUAUUUAUCAGAGGUUUCGAGGGUUAAACCAUUUUUAAAUGGAGGGUCACUUGAAAUUGCGUCUAUUGUGUCUACACUAGAGAUACACUAUGGUUUAAGGAGCGGUUUACUUUAACAGGAUUAAUAUUAUUGAGAAAAAGAGAAGUUUGUUUAUUAUUUUAAUAAUAACGUUUGUUGAUUUCUGUCUUUUGAGUCAUUUGUAUUCCAAGUUCGUCUAUUUUAUUUGUAUGUUAUCACUUCUUUAUUCGUACAUUGUUAGCAUAGCUGGAUCAGAACUAAUACAUGAGAGAAUUAGUUGAACUACUUAUAUACUAAGUUGAACCACUUUUCUCCAUCAAGAAAACAGCAUGUGUUUACGCUAUUCAUAAAAUAUGACUCCUUGUAAUUUUCGAACUUAAAAUUUUUAAAGAAUUAAGAAUAUUAUAUUUUUAAAUCAGAUUUGAAUAAUUACUGCGCUGUCUCUUAUUUGUACUUUUCACGAAGUCCCGGAUCACAUGUUUCCAUCAUUACUGCUAAUAUAACACUGAGUACAGAAAAGUAAAAACUUUAAAUGCGUCCAUACACCAACAUGUGUGGUGUAAUAAGAAUUAGUCUCCCUCCAGAUAUCCAAGCCGGGGUUCCCGGGCAGUCCAAGCCGGGGUUUCAAAGCAGUCCAGGCAGGGGUUCCCAGGCAGUCCAUGCCAACCAGGAUUCUCAGGCACUAGUAGCUGGUCCAUUUCCUUGAUGGCAUGGGUUGACGUGCAAACAUCAGGCGUGCGAGAUUCACAUGAGGAACCAUCAAAUUGGCUUGAAAACCAGAAACCCAGGGUGAAAACCAUAAGAAAGUAACAAGACCAAAAAGAGCUUCUCAAAUUGGGUAGCAUCUGACUCUGCAGAAUCACUAAAAACUGCUACCACAACUGAGGAAAAGAAUGGAGCAGAACUGUCUGAAAAUGGAAUGAAAGAGGAGUAUGAGACCAGUUGGAGAUGAUUAUUUUGACUUAGGAGGACUUCUUGGGUUACUUCCUCAAGCACUGGUGCUGGGCGGGGAAAUCCCCAGAGGUUUAUUUUUGUGGACUUAAACUUUCAAUAAAUUCAGCAUCUCAUA